rnacentral:rRNA from 1 species
CGUGUAGGCGGCUCUUCAAGUCUUUGGUGAAAUCUCCCGGCUUAACCGGGAGGGUGCCAGGGAAACUGGAGGGCUUGAGGGCAGCAGAGGGGGGUGGAAUUCCCGGUGUAGUGGUGAUAUGCGUAGAUAUCGGGAGGAACACCAGUGGCGAAGGCGGCCCCCUGGGCUGUUCCUGACGCUGAGGCGCGAAAGCGUGGGGAGCAAACA